AACGAACGCUGGCGGCGUGCUUAACACAUGCAAGUCGAACGGUAAGGCCCUUCGGGGUACACGAGUGGCGAACGGGUGAGUAACACGUGGGUGAUCUGCCCUGCACUUCGGGAUAAGCCUGGGAAACUGGGUCUAAUACCGGAUAGGACCACUGCCUGCAUGGGUGGUGGUGGAAAGCUUUUGCGGUGUGGGAUGGGCCCGCGGCCUAUCAGCGUGUUGGGGGGGUGAUGGCCUACCAAGGCGACGAUGUUUAGCUGGUUUGAGAGGAUGAUCAGCCACACUGGGACUGAGAUACAGCCCAGACUCCUACGGGAGGCAGCAGUGAGGAAUAUUCCACAAUGGGGGAAACCCUGAUGGAGCGAUGCCGCGUGCAGGAAGACGCUUUUCGGAGUGUAAACCUCUUUCAGUAGGGACGAAGCGAAAGUGACGGUACCUAAAGAAGAAGCACCGGCUAACUACGUGCCAGCCGCCGCGGUAA
rnacentral:rRNA from 1 species